rnacentral:rRNA from 1 species
UACGAAGGGGGCUAGCGUUGCUCGGAAUCACUGGGCGUAAAGCGCACGUAGGCGGCUUUUUAAGUCAGGGGUGAAAUCCUGGAGCUCAACUCCAGAACUGCCUUUGAUACUGAGAAGCUUGAGUCCGGGAGAGGUGAGUGGAACUGCGAGUGUAGAGGUGAAAUUCGUAGAUAUUCGCAAGAACACCAGUGGCGAAGGCGGCUCACUGGCCCGUAACUGACGCUCAUGCACGACAGCGUGGGGAUCAAACAGG